rnacentral:lncRNA from 1 species
CUCUGGGCUCCACGUAAAUCAGACACCGCCUCCUCAAGCCUGCCCGUAAAACCUGCUGCCGUCAGUCACGGGCCAGCCUUUCCCUUAAGGAUGUCUGAGAGCUGGUCUCCUCACUCUUUUCUUCCGCCUAUUAAACUUUCCGCUUCUUAACUCACCCAUGUGUGUCCAUGUCGUUAAUCAUCUUGACGAGAGAUGAUGAACCCCGGAUAUUUACCCCAGACAGUGAUGCCGCUUCACCAGCAUUGCACUCUACUUCCCCGCUUCCUGAUCCUGCCUCAGCUUCUCCUCUCCACAGAGAAGAAAAAAUUCUGCCUAAAGUCUGCAACAUCGUUUCCUGCCUGAGUUUCAGCCUGCCAGCUUCUCCUACGGAUUCUGGACUUGCCAGCCCCACAAUCAUGUGCCCAGGAGGCAUGUGUACAUCUGCAUAUUCUUCUAAUUGUAUGUACUUGCAUAUAUAUUCAUACCUGAAGUUCUGCUUGUUUUCAUUUGGGACACAUGGGAAGUGCUCCCUCCCAUUGCAAACCACAGAGGCAUCUGCUAAAAUCUGCUGUGUCCCCUGUGCGGGUGUUAGCGAUGCAUUCAG